rnacentral:misc_RNA from 1 species
GAUGAAGAACGUAGCGAAAUGCGAUAAGUAAUGUGAAUUGCAGAAUUCAGUGAAUCAUCGAAUCUUUGAACGCUCAUUGCGACCCUUGGUAUUCCGAGGGGCAUGCCUGUUCGAGCGUCAUAUUAACCACUCCCGCUUGCGGGGUCUUGGGCUUCGCCUCCGGGCGGGCCUUAAAAUCAGUGGCGGUGCCGUCGGGCUCUACGCGUAGUAAAUUUUCUCGCGAUAGGGUCCCGGUGGAUGCUUGCCAACAACCCCCAACUUCUUAAGGUUGACCUCGGAUCAGGUAGGGAUACCCGCUGAACUUAAGCAUAUCAAUAAGCGGAGGA